ACGGUGUAUAAGCCCGAUUGGUCACGCAACGCCACGACGAUGAGGGAAGCCGGUAAAACUCCGGCGCGGUCGCGCCACUUUAUCUGGUACGCAAGUUCAAGCUUGAUGAGCCAGGAGUCAGACCUCUCUUCGUUGUUCUUCGAAC
rnacentral:ncRNA from 2 species